ACUGCAGGAUAUCUCGGUUGAAGCUUCUGGAGACUUCACCGGGAGUUCUGUAGUGA
rnacentral:pre_miRNA from 1 species